AGCGGCGGACGGGUGAGUAACGCGUGGGUAACCUGCCUCAUACAGGGGGAUAACAGUUGGAAACGGCUGCUAAUACCGCAUAAGCGCACAGUACCGCAUGGUACGGUGUGAAAAACUCCGGCGGUAUGAGAUGGACCCGCGUCUGAUUAGGUAGUUGGUGGGGUAACGGCCUACCAAGCCGACGAUCAGUAGCCGACCUGAGAGGGUGACCGGCCACAUUGGGACUGAGACACGGCCCAG
rnacentral:rRNA from 1 species